rnacentral:RNase_P_RNA from 2 species
GAAGUAUUCCAGGUGGCCGCUCUUUUUUGGGAAGAGAGGAAAGUCCGGGCUCCAAAGGGCAGGACGCUGGGCAACUCCCAGUUGGUGCAAACCAAAGGAAAGUGCCACAGAAAUAUACCGCCUCAUUGAGGCAAGGGUGAAAAGGUGGGGUAAGAGCCCACCGGGCGGAAAGCGAUUUCCGCGCCAGGCAAACCCCGUCCGGAGCAAGGCCGAAUAGGGGGGGAUGACGUUGCCCGCCGACCCCCGGGUACGGCCGCGAAAAGAACGCCGUAAGGCGGUCUUCAGAUAAAUGGCCACUCCAUGACAGAACCCGGCUUACGGAAUGCUUCACCU